AACUACAUUUGGCAAACUUAUUGAAAAGUAAGGACGCAAAGCUACAGGGCCUUCCCUUCAGAAAGGAUGGCAGCCAGCUGCCGGU
rfam:Clostridium sp. KLE 1755 genomic scaffold Scaffold854, whole genome shotgun sequence.